ACACCACCAACCACCACCCUUUCACAAUAAAUUGCGCCGUUUCUUAUUUUUGUGAAUCAACAAUUUGUAGAUUGUUCACACAAAGUGGCCGAAUGAGUGGAAAGAAUGAUGACUGAACCAAUGAGAAUAAAUGGUGGAGUGGAGAUAUUAUUUGGGCAAGAUCUUUUUGGUGGUGGGUUUUUUUCAAUUCUUUCAAAACUUCGUCAACUAUAAAAGGUCAGCUGGAAAUUGAUGGAAUGGCAGUGUUAGUUGCACAACGAUUCCGACAACAACCAAAAAAAUAGUUUCUCUAUAAAAAUUUAAGUGUUUUUGUUAAAACAAAAGCCUCCCAGCACUGGGAGGCUUAAAAAUUUAAAUAGUUUGGAAUGAAAAAGUUUUAAAACCAUUAUUAACCAAAAGCAACAAAAAACAGUGUUUCGUUAUACAAAAUCAAUAGAACUGGUAAAACGUCAUCCUCAAAUUCAAUUGUCAGCUACACUCAACACAAAUACAGAACAUCGCCAAAAAAACCUCAACUCUGUGAAAGUCUUGUUAUUUGGUCGUCGACUCAAGAAAAUACCGCUUUGGAAGAAAGCAGAAGCAAAAUUAAGUAAAACUUGCUGUUCUAAACAAAAAUUAAAUGGUUUCGUAUCCAAAUUACUGCUUUGGACUAAAACUGCGGCGUUAUUUGGAAAUUUCAAGAUUAUUUUGAACUUAAGAUGCCGUUUUCUACAAAGAUUCCGUUUGGCUGCCACAAAAUUAUUGAUUCUUCGGCUUCAAACUCUGUAAUAUACAAAUGAUGUCUCGAACUAAAAACCCUCCUCCGGAUCAUUGGCAAGGAUUUUGGCAAAUAGUUUGAUAUUAGAAAGAGUUCAUGAAG